AGCAUGGCUUUCUGGCCCAAACUAGUUUCAGAGUCUUCUAUCCUGGAGAGUAAUUCAAUUAUCUCCCAGGACAGACACAAGACUCCAUUAAGCACAUGGUUGCAAAAAGACACAAAACACUUUAAAAUACAUAAAGUCACCUUUACACAUAAGACACAGACAUUUCACAUAUCCCCAGAUAGCUGGGAUCUGAGCGCACAAAACUACCGAAUAGCGCUCAGAUCCUAUUCACACAGUUCAACUGCCAUGGAGCCGAAGUCUUUAACUACACGAAUGGGCUCCAUGGCAUAGCUAUCUGGGUUAACACAUUCACAUAAAGUCUGGUCCAUAGUCCAAAGGCAAGAGGCGGGCAAGCAGCCCCCUCCAAGGACACGUGGCGAGGCCGGUUUCGCCACAGGG